rnacentral:rRNA from 1 species
CGGCGGCCAUGGCAGGGGGGGAACACCCGGUCCCAUGCCGAACCCGGAAGUUAAGCCCCCGAGCGCCGAUGGUACUGCCGGUCCAGCCGGUGGGAGAGCAGGACGCCG